rnacentral:rRNA from 1 species
AACGAACGCUGGCGGCAUGCCUAACACAUGCAAGUCGAACGAACCCUUCGGGGUUAGUGGCGCACGGGUGCGUAACGCGUGGGAAUCUGCCCUUUGCUUCGGAAUAACUCAGGGAAACUUGUGCUAAUACCGGAUGAUGUCUUCGGACCAUAGAUUUAUCGGCAAGGGAUGAGCCCGCGUAGGAUUAGGUAGUUGGUGGGGUAAAGGCCUACCAAGCCGACGAUCCUUAGCUGGUCUGAGAGGAUGAUCAGCCACACUGGGACUGAGACACGGCCCAGACUCCUACGGGAGGCAGCAGUGGGGAAUAUUGGACAAUGGGCGCAAGCCUGAUCCAGCAAUGCCGCGUGAGUGAUGAAGGCCCUCGGGUCGUAAAGCUCUUUUACCAGGGAUGAUAAUGACAGUACCUGGAGAAUAAGCUCCGGCUAACUCCGUG